AUUGAACGCUGGCGGCAGGCUUAACACAUGCAAGUCGAGCGAGCGGCGGACGGGUGAGUAAUGUCUGGGAAACUGCCUGAUGGAGGGGGAUAACUACUGGAAACGGUAGCUAAUACCGCAUACCAUCAGAUGUGCCCAGAUGGGAUUAGCUAGUGGGUGGGGAAAUGGCCAACCUAGGCGACGAUCCCUAGCUGGUCUGAGAGGAUGACCUGCCACACUGGAGCGGAGUCACGUUCCAGACUCCUACGGGCGGCAGCAGUGGGGAAUAUUGCACAAUGGGCGCAAGCCUGAUGCGGCCAGGCCGCGUGGCUGAAGAAGGCGUUCGGGUUGUAAAGCACUUUCAGCGAGGAGGCGUUACUCGCAGAAGAAGCACCGGCUAACUCCGUGACAGCAGCCGCGGUAAUUC
rnacentral:rRNA from 1 species